GACGAACGCUGGCGGCGUGCCUAAUACAUGCAAGUCGAACGCAGUGGGGACGGGUGAGUAACACGUGGGUAACCUCCCAUCAGAGGGGAUAACACUUGGAAACAGGUGCUAAACCGAUACUGAUGGAUGGACCCGCGGUGCAUUAGCUAGUUGGUGAGGUAACGGCUCCCCAAGGCCACGAUGCAUAGCCGACCUGAUAGGGUGUACGUCCAAGUUGGUACUUAAACACGUCCCAGAAUCCUACGGGAGGCAGCAGUAGGUGAUCUUCGGCAAUGGACGAAAGUCUGACCGAGCAACGCCGCGUGAGUGAAGAAGGUUUUCGGAUCUUAAAACUCGUUUGUUAGAGAAGCGGGAUUGAACCAGAAAGCCACGGCUAACUACGUGCCAGCAGCCGCGGUAAUUC
rnacentral:rRNA from 1 species